GAACACAGGAAGGACUCAGUCAAUGUCACUGGAAAAAUGAAUAAGAUGGUGUCAGGCAGGCUGAUGGGACCUGCCAGCUGAGGACCUAGCUUGUGAAGCUGAAACUGAGUUACUGUCUCCAAGGUCUAGAGGUUCAAGGUUCAAAACAAAAUUUCUUCUGCUAUGACUUUCCUUUCUGUUCCCCCACCCCUGUUUCUCCAGGUCGGCUGUAAGUAGAAGGAACAGUCGCUUCAAUUACCCCAGCCAUGAGAAGCUCAGACCAUGGGGACACUCCCUGAGAACACUGCUGAGAUGGGACAUGGGAAAUAACAACAAAAGAAGCAUCCGAGGGGGAAGGUUUGAUCAUGGAGAAACGCUUGGGCAGGCAGCAGCUUCCAGACUCGCUGAAAAACUUUUGGCUGAAUUGGACUGGGAUUCUUGAGGUCAAGCGAACUUUUUAAAAUAUGUUUGCUGCUACAGACAACCAGCUCCAUUGAAGUUGCUGUUGACAGAGACUAUUAAACCGCCUUACAGAAGCACG
rnacentral:lncRNA from 14 species